AUUGGUGUCAAUGACGGUGAGGGUCCACCCGUUCCCAUUCCGAACACGGAAGUUAAGCUCACCAGUGCCGAAGAUACUUGCCUGGCAACGGGCCGGAAAAAUAGGUCGAUGCCAAUA
rnacentral:rRNA from 1 species